UACGGAGGGGCUAGCGUUGUUCGGAAUUACUGGGCGUAAAGCGCACGUAGGUGGCUUUGUAAGUUAGAGGUGAAAGCCCGGGGCUCAACUCCGGAAUUGCCUUUAAGACUGCAUCGCUAGAACGUCGGAGAGGUAAGUGGAAUUCCGAGUGUAGAGGUGAAAUUCGUAGAUAUUCGGAAGAACACCAGUGGCGAAGGCGACUUACUGGACGACUGUUGACACUGAGGUGCGAAAGCGUGGGGAGCAAACAGG
rnacentral:rRNA from 1 species